AGUGAACGCUGGCGGCAGGCCUAACACAUGCAAGUCGAACGGCAGCACAGUAGGAGCUUGCUCUUAUGGGUGGCGAGUGGCGGACGGGUGAGGAAUACAUCGGAAUCUACUCUUUCGUGGGGGAUAACGUAGGGAAACUUACGCUAAUACCGCAUACGACCUACGGGUGAAAGCGGAGGACCUUCGGGCUUCGCGCGAUUGAAUGAGCCGAUGUCGGUUUAGCUAGUUGGCGGGGUAAAGGCCCACCAAGGCGACGAUCCGUAGCUGGUCUGAGAGGAUGAUCAGCCACACUGGAACUGAGACACGGUUCAGACUCCUACGGGAGGCAGCAGUGGGGAAUAUUGGACAAUGGGCGCAAGCCUGAUCCAGCCAUGCCGCGUGGGUGAAGAAGGCCUUCGGGUUGUAAAGCCCUUUUGUUGGGAAAGAAAAGCAGUCGGUUAAUACCCGAUUGUUCUGACGGUACCCAAAGAAUAAGCACCGGCUAACUUCGUGCCAGCCGCCGCAGUAACAC
rnacentral:rRNA from 1 species